GAGCAGCAGGUGGAUGGACCGGUGCUCCUGCCGCUCCCGCCGGGCGGCUCCAGGGAAGGCUGUGCCUUUUUGUUUCCGCCUCAAUAUCCGGGACCUACUACAUGCUGGGCACGGGGAGGAAAACCUGGAAACGAGUGGCAGGAGGCGCUGAGGCUUUGCGCCAGUCUUGAGACAAGAGUCAGAAAACCUUCCAUCCUCAGGACAACCUGAGAAAGAUGAUGAAAAAACGGGCCAUUUCCCAGUGUUUAACAACGAACACGCAACCCCCUGAGCCAAGACAGCGCUGUGUGGAGUCCUCACUGUCCUCAGGAUGCGAGUGUGGAGUGGAAUUACCCACCAUUCAACUGAGAAGUGUGGAGCCAGGCCUUGCCUGAGGAUCCGGGAAGACAGUGAUGUGGGACAAGGACUAAGCCUGUCACGGAGCAGGCAGACAACCGGGCUCAGCGGGGAGCUCUGAUAAUCGCCGCUGCAGGGCACAGCCAACUCAGAGCAUGUCCAAAUGGCGGCUUGUGGAGCAACAAGUGUGGGCAGAGCCAGUGACCGAGAAGAUCACUCAGCAGGACAGCAAUCAAGCGGCCUCUCUCUCUCCUCCCUGCUUUGAAAUGGGGACAUAAUUUUGAGAAUCUGGGCAUUUAUUCCAUGCCCAGAUCAGUCAGUGUUGUACAUGACAGACUCAGAGCAAACUGGUAACUGACGUGUGUUUGGGGACCAUACCCGUGAGGCUGUUCCAGUCCUGGGGGUGCCCCCAACCCCCACGAGGCAUCACCUUCUACCACUGAGGGAGCCUCUGGUAGGUGCUUCUCUUCCCCAGCUUUGUAAAGGAAGAGACUCAUUCGCUGGCCACACUCAACAAAUAUUGAUCAGAUGGCUGAGCCAAAGAAUGAAUGAGUGGCAUCUUCUCCCUCGAAUGUGCUCUUGGCUGUCCACUGAGUUCAUUCCUCUAGUGCCUUAAUGGAAUUAGGCCUUCUAGAAUUCCUUAUCUGCAGUUCCAGGACCCAGACAGCUGAGCCGAUGGGCUGAGACUCUUAUCACUUGUUGGAGGAAUGACUUGCGCUCCUCAGGUGUAAACUGGGAUAAGGAUACUUAUUGCCUUUAUUUGCUUGUAGGCCUGCCAGAACAGGGAGAAAUGAAUUUCUUCCAGUCCUGGAGGCUGGGAAGUCCAAGAUCAAAGUGCUGGCAGAUUCUGUGUCUGGUGAGGGUCAGUGUCCUGGUCCCUGGUGGCCAUCUUUUUGCUAUGUCCUCACAUGGUGCCCUGGGGAGUCACUGGGCACUAACCCCACGGACUUGGACCCCAUCCUCAUGCCCUAAUCACCUGCCAAAGAAACUAUCUCCAAGUGCCAUCCUGUUGGGGAUCAGGUUUCAACAUGGGAAUGUGGGGGUUCACAAUCACUCAGCCCAGAGCAUUAUCAUGGUAUCUACUUCCUGUCGGGAAACUGAGGGACACACUUCUGAUGAAGCUGAUAAUCAGAGAACGUGGCUCAGGGGUGGGAGCAGGUGUGCCGCCUGAUGAUAAGCACCCCAUCCCAGACAGCACUAACACUCACACGCCUCUCUCUGGGGGUACCUGACCAGCCCCGGCCAGAAAGCCCCUUCCCCGCAGGCAGGCAGAGUCCACAGCGGGCUGAGCUUGCCCAGUUCCUUCUCCCAAGAUCUCCAUUUGGAAAAGCUGCUUCUCUUCCCAAGGGAGGAAUGGGUGUGGAAGUAGAGAGAGAGGAGUGUUCCACACCUAGGGGAGAGGGGCACCCCAAUUCCAAGGGGUAGGAGCACCCUAGUUACUGCCUGGCUUUUACCUUUGUGCAGUAGAAUUCAAAGCGAAAAGCAUCAUGACAAAAGAUAAUGUGGUAAAGAGAAGUUGCUGCUACAGAUUGAAUAAGAUCCCCUUCCCGGUUCACGAGUUGAUCCCAUCCCCAAUAUCUCAGAGUGUGACCUUAUUUGGAAAUAGUGUUGUGCAGAUGUCAUUAGUUAAAAUGCAGUCAUUAGCGUGAACCCUAAUCCCACGUGGCUGGUGUCCCCGCGAAUGGGAAAUUUGGACACGGACAUGCACAGAGGACCAUGUGAGGACACAUGGCUGAGCCAGUCACCUUCCCUAGGUCACAGAGAUGGGGCAGGAAUGGACCCUCCCUCACAGCCCUGCAAAGGAACAAACCCUGCCCUCACCUUGAUCCUGGACUUCCAGCCUCCUGAACCCAGAGACAGUGCAGAUAUGUAAGCAGAGAGUGCCUCAGGCUCCUGCCACACCUUUUUCAUCCUAGGACUCAAAAGCUACCCUCAGCAUGGGCUUACCUGGCGUAGUGUCCUUGAGCCUCUGUCACAUUUGGAUUGCUUAUGAGGUCAUAGUUGCUUAUGAGGUCACCCAACUGGUGCCAUUGUGUUAAGGCAGCCCCAGCAACCUGGUGCAGACAACUUUCACAACAAGUGUGAAACUGUGCCACCGAGCAUUGCGACAAAAUCUGCAAAGGGAAGCAGCUAAAAAUUUCUUAAUGAACACGAAGGAGCCCUGUGUAGCCCAGAGGAACAUAGAGCAGGGAUUACCUGCCAUGGAACGGUGGGCCCGGCCCGGGCAGGGGUGGCUGGGUGGCCGGGCUCCAGGGACUGAAUUCGAGCUCACACUAGCAUGAUUUCCUGUGUCAGAUGCUGGCACUCAGCGCUCUCCCCACCCUCCUGAGCUCUUACUUGUGUCCUGGGCCCAGAUGCCAGAUACUGGCAUUUCCCAGACUCUUGCGGGCAAUGUUCCUGUUAUGACUCUCCUGAGGAAAACCUUCCUGUAAGAUCUGGAAUGCAGGCUAGAAGCAGGUGCCACUCCUCUCAGCAGCAGCUCACAGUGGGCAUGUGAGCAUCAGCAGGUCGAAGAAGUAUGCUCUUCUGGUGGUCCCAGGUGUCCCGUGGGGAACCUUCCAGGUGGGAAGGUUGACAGCAGCUCCUGCUUAUGGAAAGCCAGCUCCUCCCCUGACCUUUCCUUCCUUGACCCAGCCAAGUAGCUCAAGUGUCCUGUUCCCUACAUUCAAUCUCCUCCUACUUAGGGGAAAAGAUUGUGUGGCUGGAAAGUCAGGAGUCAGCCAACACAGUUCACAUUUUCACCUUCAGCGGCUGGAAGGGCUGCGUUUCCCAGGCUCCCUGGCAUGUCAGGGAAGCCGCAGGUAGGUGUUCUGGCUCUGAAAUUCUCUGGCAGGCAAGAAGUUCUCUUAUGUGGCUUCCCUUUCCUGGCGGAUACAGAGAGUGCAAUGGGGGCCAGUGAGAGCCAGGGGGAAGGUGAUGUCAGGUGGAGCAACAUGGACCCCACAAUCACCAAUGGUGGGGCCUUCACCACAGGCCCCAGUAUCCAUGAUUUGAGGGGGAAAUUGCCUCUAUGCAAGUCACUUGUCACAGCAUUAGCACUGUUUACCCUAGUUGAUGAGUCCAAGAAAUCAGAAAUGCUUUUGUAUUUAUAAAUAACUCAUGUAGUCUGUCCCAACCAUCUCCUUAUGCCUUUUUUUUCUUUUUUCAAAUGAUUUCAUGGACAAUAAGGGAGAAAAUACUGACCUCAGUGCCAUGUCGAUUCUAUACCCACAUCUGUAUUAUCUGGUCAUGCAAAGGUAUAAUGCUUAUAAAUGUCAGUGGUAACUGAUUUUCCAAUCCCUGUCAUAGAAAAUGAUGCAUUUUUCACUUCUUGGAAAUUUGGAUAUUUACAUUUUGAUGGAGAAAUCUUCCAUUUCAAAAUCACUGCCAUAAGUUGCAGGUACUGCGUAAAAGGAUCUUUCAAGACCUAUUUAUCUCACUUUUUGAUGAAAAGGGCAGAGACUACUGCCUCUGUUGAAUCUUCUCAACCCCCACACCUCUGGCCUGUACCCCAGUUCUUGUAUGCAUAAAUAAAUAAAUCUUAAAAAAAAAGA